rnacentral:rRNA from 1 species
GUCCACGCCGUAAACGAUGGGUGCUAGGUGUUGCGGGCUUUGACCCCUGCAGUGCCGUAGCUAACGCAUUAAGCACCCCGCCUGGGGAGUACGGCCGCAAGGCUAAAACUCAAAGGAAUUGACGGGGGCCCGCACAAGCGGUGGAGCAUGCGGUUCAAUUCGACGCAACGCGCAGAACCUUACCUGGGCUAGAAAAUGCAAGGACCUGGUCGAAAGAUCGGGGUGCUCUUCGGAGAGCUUGUAGUUAGGUGCUGCAUGGCUGUCGU